rnacentral:rRNA from 1 species
CCUACGGGAGGCAGCAGUGGGGGAUAUUGCACAAUGGGGGGAACCCUGAUGCAGCGACGCCGCGUGGGUGAAGGAGUGCUUCGGCAUGUAAAGCACUAUCGGCAGGGAAGAAGCAAGACGGUACCUGACUAAGAAGCCCCGGCUAACUACGUGCCAGCAGCCGCGGUAAUACGUAGGGGGCGAGCGUUAUCCGGAUUCACUGGGUGUAAAGGGAGCGUAGACGGCCAUGCAAGCCAGGGGUGAAAGCCCGGGGCCAAACCCCGGGACUGCCCUUGGAACUGUGCGGCUAGAGUGCGGGAGGGGCAGGUAGAAUUCCUGGUGUAGCGGUGAAAUGCGUAGAGAUCAGGAGGAACACCGGCGGCGAAGGCGGCCUGCUGGACUGAGACUGACGUUGAGGCUCGAAAGCGUGGGGAGCGAACAGGAUUAGAUACCCUGGUAGUC